GGCGAUUCCACCGAUCCCCUUCGCCUCCGGUGGCUGAUUAGGUGUCGGCUUGCUGAUGCGAACACGGAUCUGUCCACAGAGGUAUGUUUUAGGUCUGUACGAUCUAGGUUUUGGGUCCUGAUGGUGGUAGGUAGGCUAGGACGAAGCGGAAUAAAUGGAUCUCUCCGGCCUCUUCCUCGUCCUGCCGGUGUGGCCUCUGUAGAUGGCGCCAAUCCGGCGAGGGUAGGGCGCUCGACUUCCUACUUGUGGCGCUUUAUAUAGGAGUCAUGAGCUGGCCGACUCCGCUCCCUGGUGUGGCAGCGGCGACAGCUCAUCGCCGNNNNNNNNNNNNNNNNNNNNNNNNNNNNNNNNNNNNNNNNNNNNNNNNNNNNNNNNNNNNNNNNNNNNNNNNNNNNNNNNNNNNNNNNNNNNNNNNNNNNNNNNNNNNNNNNNNNNNNNNNNNNNNNNNNNNNNNNNNNNNNNNNNNNNNNNNNNNNNNNNNNNNNNNNNNNNNNNNNNNNNNNNNNNNNNNNNNNNNNNNNNNNNNNNNNNNNNNNNNNNNNNNNNNNNNNNNNNNNNNNNNNNNNNNNNNNNNNNNNNNNNNNNNNNNNNNNNNNNNNNNNNNNNNNNNNNNNNNNNNNNNNNNNNNNNNNNNNNGGUUUGAGUUGUUCUUCUCCAUCCAAAUCAAGAGGCUGCGGCCAGUCCAGGGCUCAUGAGCAAGGGCAGGUUCCCUGGCCGUGGCCGGGUGAUUCCAGCUCACAAAGGCCACGUAUGGCGAUGGUGCUCCAGACGCCCUUGUAUGUUUGGGCUAUUUUGGUUUUGCUUCCAUGUGUGUAGGUGGGGAUUGCACGGUAGGAGGUGAGAAACCUCAAUUCUAAUGCUUUCGGCUCCAAACUUCCAAUCAACAUCCACAUACGUUUCACCUAGUCGUGUUCCUCCCAAAUUGCUAAUAUGGUUUUCAGUUUUUGCAGAGGCUGUAGAUAGAAGAGAUCAUGAGGCUGAACAUCCUGUCCAAACAGGUAAUUGGAAUUUACCAUAUAUCCUUGACUGUGUGCUUGCUUUCGUGCAAGUAACAUUUUUUUUAUCAGGAACACCCUAAUUUUUGCACAGAAAUGGGUGGUCAUGGAUUCGAAGAAGGCGGAGUAGUCAUGUAGUGUCGCUGGUGUUCCUUGGUGUCAGGUUAUGUUUCGCCAUUGGCAUGCAUAUUGAUGUGCCAUGCAUCUCAUUUCAUCAUGGUGGUCGGCAACCGAGUCUUCGCCGCCGGAGCUGUUCAGUAUCGCCUACUCUCGGUCAGGUUACAUAACUACGUAGCAAUUUACUCUCUUGAGGAGAAUUAUUGUGUAUCAAAUUUUUAUUUCUGUCCAAAAUUUAGUUGUUUUUACCCUUCGCAAAAAAAAAUUUGUUGUUUUUGUCAUAACUAAACUACAAUAUUAAUACUGCCAUCACAAUUUUUUAUUUCAUUCCAACAAUUUAGUUCCUCUCUGUCAGUAGUAGAUUGUGUUCUGGUCUAAAUUGAUUGUAAUAGACCAAUUUGUCGAAGAUAAUAAGCUAUAUGGAGUUAGAAGUGUGUUAUAUAGAUCAUAAAAUCCAUGCUUAGGUUCUAGACGUAUAGGUAGCCAAUUAGUGGUUUUAGGACCUCGUCAUAGAUUCGUAGAUUGCACCAUGUCAUUUCACUAGCUGGUAAGUUGUGCGAAAAGAAGUUAAAAAGCUAAUGAUCAUGGUGUUCAGUGUUAUAGACUACAAGCAUGCCAGAAAACAAAUUCAGAACUAGCAAAAAAAAAGAAUUUAGUUUUUCGCGAUAACAAUUUUCAGGAAACAAUGGCUAUAUAUAUGAUGGUGAUUUUUUGGCGACUAUUUACACUGGUGGAAAAAUGGCCUUUGGUCGCGGUUCGCAACUGCCAUUAGUCGCGGUUGCGCAACCGCGACCGAACGGGCGCGACUAAAGCCCCCCCCCCUUUAGUCGCGGUUGCUUAAGAACCGCGACUAAAGGCCCGUCCACGUGGGCGCCAGGUGGCCGUCGGGGCGGAGGACCUUUAGUCGCGGUUCUUCUGGCCAACCGCGACUAAAGGCCGCCGCAGGUUUAGGGUUUUAGCCCCCCCCCUUAAACCUGUUUUCUGUUUAAUUUGUAUUGUUUUAUUUCUUUUGUGCUUUAUUUUAAUUUUGAAGGAGUUUCAUAUAUUCUACGGUACUACAUACAUGCAUAUGAAUGUACAAUUUCAAAUAAAUUUGAAAUUAGAACCAAAAAGAAUUCAAGAGGAAUAUACAAUAUAUAUUCAAUAUCAUCGGAUGACCAUAUACAAUUUUGAACAAGUUUCCAUACAUGAUUUAAUGCAUAUAAAGUUCUACGUCCUCGUAAUAGUGUUCUCCUUUAGGAUGGAGGACUUCCCUGCUGAACCAUCCAGCUAGUUCCGCUUGAAGUGGUCGGAAGCGAGCUUCUGGACUAAGCAUCCACCGGAGGUUAUUCCUCUGAGCAUUGGUAUCACUCGGAACCCGCUCAGAGGUGUAUCUCCGGAUCAUCUCACAGACAUAGUAUCCACAUAGAUUGGUCUCCGGUGGCUGAAUAUCCCCAGCAUUCUUAGCCUUUAACAUUUUGAAUUCUAGCUCUUUUUUGAAUUCACCGACCUUUGUAUCUACGAACCGUCUCCAAACCCUACGAGGCAAAGAAAAUUAAAUGAACAAGAGAGUUAUUAAUUAGUUACUUGAUAUUAGGAAAUGAACGAAAUAGGCCGAUCGAUAUAGAGCGCAAAUGAAUGAAAAUAAUUACUUCUGCAGCAUUCUUCUCAUGCCGCCCCAAAGCUUUGGAUCCAUAUUCACAGAGUCGUGGACGAGACAUUCUGAGGUGUUAACUUUAAUUACUAGCAGAAUCCAGUGAAACCUGCGGACACGAUACAUGCACAGUACGUCAUGCAUAACUCAUCGAUUAGCCGGCCACAUACCAUGCAUGGAGUAAACAAAAGAGAAUGUGCUCAAGACAGAAACACUCACUCAAAAUGGUAAGGAAAUAGAAUAUCACUUUUGAGUUCCUGCUUUGUAAGAAACUGCCACAGGUCUGCCUCCACAUCGGCGGGGUAACGCUCCAACACAUGUCCAUUAACGAUGUGUGGGUCAAUGAACCCAACAUCAUGGAUGUUCCUUACUCUGCAUUCCUUAAUCUUCAUUCUGCAUGUAUAAUAGCGGACACAACAAUAUAGUUAGGACAUAUAUAUAGUGCAGGCAAUAUGAACGAGAUGGGGUAGAAAUUAAUAAAUCACUUACAGAACGUAGCAACUGAUGAUAGAUUUAUCGAGCUCGCGCAGAUUGAAAAGCUGGAACAAUUCACUCAGUUCAAUUUGUACAUAGUAAUGUUUGAAGUGAUGCUCAUGUCUAACUUCCGCAUAAAUAUAUUCUUUGGCGUUUUUAUUUUUUAUGUAACCCUUGUACCAUUUCAGCAGACCUUUCAUUUGUGGAGGUAGAUCAUUUUCCUCCGCAGGCUCGACGAGAGGCCCAUUCUUGACAUAUUUAUUACUACCUCCUUCACUGGCGCCUCAUCAAGGCCUAACAGUUCACGAAGAGUAAUACCUAAGUUGGCCGCUUGUUCUCUGGCACUCGUUACAGUCAAUCCCUGUGCUGCCGCAGCUUGUAUGAUCUCGGGGUCAUCCGGACAGAAGGCUUCCACUAUAAGCGGGGCAAUCGAUUGUUUACUUUGUUCCCCGAGCUGGGCAACUUGUUUCCCGCUUUUUUUACUUUCGGCCUUCUCCCGCUCUUUGUUCUCCUUGAACAUGAGUGCCUGCCUGCGAAGUUCACGUGCAUAGUCGUUAGGCAGAUUCUUCGCGGCUUGGGACGGUGUGCUCAAAAAUGACUUAGCCCACUUCUUUUGCUCAUCAGAAAAUACUGGCUUGGGCUCGGGCUCUCUUUUCUUCUUGCAGUCCGCCUUCCAUUUCUCCAAAUCAGCAGCCGCGGCCGCGUCGACUUCCUCGGCACUACGUUCCCAAGGCCUUGUGGGGAGAGGCUUCAGUGAUGGCUCCGGUACCUUUGUGGUCUUAGGUACAUAAGGGUCCGGGUUAAUAAUCCAGGACUGCUUCUGCUUCUUUGCCGGAGGUGGACUGGGGGGCGGCGUCUGAUCACCCGCCGGACGAGGACUGGGGAGCGGCGGCUGAUCACCCGCCGGACGUUGUGGACUGGGGGGCGGCGUCGGCUGACAUGACGGAGGUGUAGGUGAACCGCCACCACCACCACCACCACCACCACCACCACCACCGCCACCGCCACCACCACCACCGUAGGGGGGUGGACUUGUUGUCCUUGGCGCCUCGCCUGGAAACUUGAUAAACUUCUUUUGCCAUAGAAUGAAAUGGCGCUUGACAUCUCCAAGUCUUUUCUCCCCUUCAGGUGUAGCAAUGUCAAUCUCCAGGUCCUCAAACCCUUGGACUAUGUCCUCCACCGUGACACGAGCAUAGCCAUCUUGAAUGGGGUUGUUGUGGUGGAGUGCUCCAGGUAAACAUGGUAAAGCACUGCCAAUGGCUACCUUCAUGGACAUGUUCCCGAUAGGAUAAUACAGAUGACAUUCUUUCAUCUCCUUUAUAUCGUCCACGGGGUAGCGAGGAGGCUCCGGUGAAGUAAUUUCGACCACCAGAGGCUCCGGUGCAGUAAUUUGGACCACCAGAGGCUCCGGUGCAGUAAUUUCGAUCGUCGGUGCAUCUGCACCAGCCGGUGGGGCCUCCGUGGAAGCCACGCUGCUUCUCCGCUGCUGGCUUCCGAGAUCCGCUGGAUGAUCUUCAUGCUGCACCCGAGCUGCAUCUCUUUCGGCUACUAGUACACUCAUGGUUUUCUUCAUCACAUCCAUUUCCGAUGCCAACCGCGCCACAACAUCUGCUUCCCGAUCCAUCUUUCUCUUACGGCUUCUGUAACCGUACGGGUCAUCGUUCUGGGGGAACCUUAUUUUCCACGGAAUGUGCCCCCAUGCCUCGUACACGUCCUCCGUGUUCAGGAUUCCCGAGGGCUUUUGUCAGCGCGUCGUUCUCUCUGUUGAACUUGAUCUUCCCCUGUUGAGCAUCCCUCAUUGCGUUAAUAAGGGCUUGGGUGGGUUUAAUUAAUUUGCCCCGGUAAACACACUCCCCUGUCUCCGGGUUCAGCGUUCCCCCAUGCCCGUACCACCAGCUUUUGGCCCUUGGGUCCCAUCCCUCCGUACCUGGACGGAUUCCUCGCGCCCUCAGCUCGUUCUCCAUCUUCUCCCACCUAGGCUCCCAAAGGCGAUACCCUCCUGGCCCCAUAACAUGAUUGUACUCCUUCUUAGCCGCAUUUUCCUUUUUUUUCGAUAUUUGAAUGAACUGCUCCGAUUUCUUUUGCUUCACAAAUUCUGCCCAAUCAUGUUUCAGUUUCUCAUAUUGUCCUUUGAAAUCCGGAGUCUUGUUCUGCUUGACAAAGUCAUGGGCUAGAUUUUGCUUGAAUUUCCGGAAUGCGUCGGCCAUCUUAUGAAGAGCGAACUGUUUGACUAGCCUCCUCCUCUCCUUGUUUUCCUCAAUCUUGUUACCCUCCUCAUCGAAUUUGUUGUAUUCCGGAGGUAGAACGAAAUGUUCCAUAAGCUUCUUGAAGCAAUCUUUUUUUGUUCUCUUAUCGACAAAAGUGAAACCAUCAAUUCGUGCCUUCUUUGGCUCAUUCCACUCCUGGACGGUGAUCGAGACGUUGUCUCUAACAAUGGCUCCGCAUUGGCUGACAAACUUGGUGGCGUUCUUGCGGGGCUCCAGCGGCCUGCCGGUUGCACUAUCGACAACCUCGAUGGUGCAUGUUUCUCCUUGUUUCAUCGUCUUGGUUGCGCCACGCUUUGACGACGUACUCGAUUGUUUCGACGAUCCAGCCGAGGGCUAAAAUAAGAAAGAGUCGCGCGCGUUAGUACACACAUAUUUAUUCAAAUCAGUUAGUUUGUAUCACCAGAGGCUCAAUGUAUAUAUAUACCUCGGCGCCGGAGGUGGUUGCUACUUCCAUUUGAAGAUCGUCGUUUAUCGACGUUUGUUCGGCAUCAUCCUGCUGACGGCGCCCUUCAUCUUCACCGUCAAGGUUCAGAUAAGAAGAGAUAUCAUCUUCUUCUUCUCCGGUCGGCACAUAUAGAAUAUCGCCGUUUAUGAUGCCGAACAUAUGUGCUUCACCGUCCGGAUCAUAGUUGUCCAUAAUCGGGUCAGCUCUAUCGUCCGCCAUUAUGUCAGUCCUGAAAACAUGUAGUAAAAACAAAUUAAUUAAGUGAAGAAGGGGGGCGGUGGCGGUGGCGGUGGCGAAAGGGCGGUGGCGAAAGGAGGGGGCGAGGAAGGGGUGGGAGAGGGUGUCGCGGUAGAGCGCGAGACGGGGCGGCAGACGACGGCGUCACGGAGAGGGGAGGCGAGGACAACACAUUUAUAACCCUCGCCGUCCCCUCUCGAUCCCUAAAAAAACACCGCGCGCAUCGCCGCCCCCCUCGCCGCCCCUCUCCGUAUAAACAAAUUGUCCGAACAGAGCUUGGAGUAGAGUGGCUAGGGUUUGGCCAGGGAUGCGGAUGGAGACGAACAUAUGUGGGGUCGGGAUGGCCCAUGUGCAGGGCGGGGGGUUUGUUUUUCUUCUGUUUUUUUCUUAUGUUUUUCUUCUGUUUGUUUUUUUCUUCUGUUUUUCCUUUUUUCUUCUGUUUUUUUCUUCUGUUUUUUUCUUCCUUUUUCCUUCUUUCUUCUUCUUCCUUUUUCCUUUUAAAAUCAGAAAAAUAAAACUAAUUCAUUUUAAAAUCUUAAAAAUACAAUUAUAUAUCAAAAAAAUCAGAAAAAUAAAACUAAUUCAUUUUAAAACCCCUUGAAGGUUUGACAAAAGGUUUGAUACAUCAUUCAGUUCAUCGACCAAAUACAAAGUUUGGUACAAUAAAUUAUUACACAUCAAUUCUUCCCUUGUGUCCCUGCUUGCUUACGAUUGUGCCGUAUCCAUGGAGCAUCCUCAUCAUUUAACUUAAUGCUUGGGUCAAUGUUCACUUUGAAGGGCGGAAUUUCACCAAACAUAUUAUAAUCUUCUGACAUGUCUGUCUUGCCCUUCACUCCCACGAUGUUUCUUUUCCCUGAAAGAACAAUGUGGCGCUUUGGAUCAUCGCAUGAUGUACUGAUCGUUUUCUUAUCUUUCCGUUUCCUCGGUUUGCUACUCAUGUCCUUCAAAUAAAAAACCUGAGCGACAUCUUUGGCAAGGACGAAUGGUUCGUCAAGGUAACCAAGAUUGUUGAAAUCCACCAUUGUCAUUCCGUAUUGCUCGUCCACCUUUACCCCACCUCCUGUUAGCUUGAACCAUUUGCACCGGAACAAAGGGACCUUAAAGGAGGGUCCAUAGUCAAGUUCCCAUAUCUCCUCUAUGUAACCAUAAUAUGUGACCUUUUGCCCAUUCUCGGUUGCUGCAUCAAAGCGGACACCACUGUUUUGGUUGGUGCUCUUUUUAUCUUGGACGAUCGUGUAAAAUGUAUUCCCAUUUAUCUCGUACCCUUGGAAAGUCGUUAUAGUCGAAGAUGGUGUCUUGGCCAACAUGUACAGCUGAUCUACAACAUCAUUGUCAUUCAUUAAAUGUUUUCUCAACCAACUGCCGAAAGUCUCCAUGUGGGCCUUCCUAAUCCAGGAUUCAGGCUUCCCCGGGUUGUCCGAGCGUAAAAUAUUCUUGUGUUUCUCAAAGUACGGAGCCACCAAGCUGGAAUUGGUCAGUACAGUGUGGUGUGCUUCAGUCAGAGAAUGGCCGUACAUACAUAUUGUUGAUUUCCUUCCGAUCGUGCCUUUUCCACUUAGUCUCCCCUCGUGCCGCGAUCGAGGAAGACCAAUCGGCUUAAGGUCAGGAACAAAGUCAACACAAAACUCAAUUACCUCCUCAUUUCCAUAGCCCUUGGCGAUGCUUCCUUCUGGCCUAGCACGGUUACGAACAUAUUUCUUUAAUACUCCCAUGAACCUCUCGAAGGGGAACAUAUUGUGUAGAAAUACAGGACCGAGAACGAAAAUCUCUUCGACUAGGUGAACCAGGAGGUGCGUCAUAAUAUUGAAGAAGGAUGGCGGGAACACCAACUCGAAACUGACAAGGCAUUGGAUCACAUCGUUCUGUAACUGUGGUAGAACUUCUGGAUUGAUUACCUUCUGAGAGAUUGCAUUGAGGAAUGCACAUAGCUUCACAAUGGCUACUCGAACAUUUUCCGGCAGGAGCCCCCUCAAAGCAAUCGGAAGCAAUUGCGUCAUAAUCACGUGGCAGUCGUGAGACUUCAGGUUUUGGAACUUUUUCUCCGCCAUGUUUAUUAUUCCCUUUAUAUUGGACGAGAAUCCAGACGGGACCUUCAUACUGCUCAGGCAUUCAAAAAAGAUGACCUUCUCUUCUUUGGUCAGAGCGUAGCUGGCACGACCUUGAAACCAUUCCGGAUGCCGGUCAUCAGGGUCUUUCAAACGUUGCUGGUCCUGCCGUGCUUCCUUUGUAUCAUUUGUCUUCCCAUACACGCCCAAGAAGCUUAGGAGGUUCACGCAAAUAUUCUUCGUAACGUGCAUCACGUCGAUUGCAGAGCGGACAUCUAGGACUUUCCAAUAUUCUAGCUCCCAGAAUAUAGAUUUCUUCUUCCACAUGGCUGCGUGCCCGUCAGCUCCCUUCGGAACUGAUUGUCCGCCAGGACCCUUUCCAAAGAUGACUUUCAAAUCCUUGACCAUAUCAAAUACCUCAGCAACAGUGCGUUCCGCAGGCUUCGGCCGGUGAUCUGCCUUGCCGUUGUAAUGCUUGCCUUUCUUUCUUACUGGAUGAAUUUUCGGAAGAAAUCGACGAUGCCCAAGGUACACGUUCUUCUUACAAUUUGGCAAAUGUACACUUUCAGUCUCAUGUAAGCAGUGCGUGCAUGCAUUGUAUCCCUUAUUUGACAGUCCCGAAAGGUUACUAAGAGCAGGCCAAUCGUUGAUGGUUACGAAAAGCAACACUCGUAGGUUAAAUUCCUCUUUUUUGUGCUCAUCCCACACACGGACACCAGGUCUGCCCCACAGCUGUAAAAGUUCAUCAACUAAUGGCCUUAGGUACACAUCGAUGUCGUUGCCGGGUUGCUUCGGACCUUGGAUGAGCACUGGCAUCAUAAUGAACUUCCGCUUCAUGCACAACCAAGGAGGAAGGUUGUAGAUGCAUAGAGUCACGGGCCAGGUGCUAUGGCUGGAGCUCUGCUCGCCAAAAGGAUUCAUGCCAUCCGUACUUAGAGCAAAUCUUAUGUUCCUUGCGUCAGCUGCAAAAUCUUUGAACCAUCUGUCGAUCUUUCUCCAUUGCGUUCCAUCUGCGGUGUGUCUCAACUCCCCAUCCGACUUACGGUCCUCUUUGUGCCAUCGCAACAACUUGGCAUGCUCUUUGUUCCUGAACAGACGUUUCAACCGUGGUAUUAUAGGAGCAUACCACAUCACCUUGGCGGGAACCCUCUUCUUGGGUUUCUGGCCCUCAACAUCGUCACCAGGGUCAUCGCCUCUGAUCUUAUAACGCAAUGCAGUGCAUACCGGGCAUUCAUUCAAAUUCUCGUAUUCACCGCGGUAGAGGAUGCAGUCGUUGAUGCAUGCAUGUAUCUUCAGAACCUCUAAACCUAGAGGGCAGACAACCUUCUUUGCUUCGUACGUACUGGCGGGCAACUCGUUAUCCUUUGGAAACAUAUUCUUCAACAUUUUCAACAAGUUUUCAAAUGCCGAGUCAGCUACACCUGCCUCUGCCUUCCAUUUCAGCAAAUCCAGUGUGCAGCCCAGCUUUUUCAUACCAUCAUCGCAUCCGGGGUACAGCGCCUUUCUGUGAUCCUCUAACAUGCGAUCCAAAUUCUCCCUCUCCUUUUCAGUUUCGCAGCGUCUCCGUGCAUCAGCAAUGGUCCGACCAAGAUCAUCAACGGGAUCAUCACGUGCCUCUUCUUCACCUUCCCCUUCACCUUCAGCAUCCUCCAUGAAAGUAUCACCGAAAUGAGCAAGAUAGCUUUCAUCGAUGAAAUCAUCCCCUUCUUCAUCUUCUUCCAUUAUAACCCCUCUUUCUCCAUGCUUGGUCCAACAAUUAUAGCUUGGCAUGAAACCGUGCCGAAGCAGAUGCAUGUGAACAUCUCUUGAGGAAGAGUAACCCUUCUGAUUCUUACAGAUAACACAUGGACAGAUAACAAAACCCCCCUGCUUGUUCGCAUUAGCCACUACGAGGAAAUAUUUCAAACCCGUAGUGAACUCGCCGGAGAGUCGGUUACCGUACAUCCAUUGCCGAUUCAUCUGCAUUAUUAUAAUAUAAAAUAUAUAAUUAACCAUCAUGCAUUUGUUAAACUAACUAGCUACAAAUAAUAUAAAUUAAACAAUAAACUGCACACAUGCAUAUUUUAUCAAUGACACACAUGCAUGAAAGGUUCAAGUUGCUAACCGCGAUCGAGGAGGAAAAAAUAAAUGAGGAACCUCAAGUGUGGCUCCAACACUUCAUAUCAUGUUUGUUUCACCCUCUUAGGGCAUUUCAUCAAACACCUUGUGUGCAUAAGAGGAACCAAAAGCAAACCUACACCCCCUUGUGAAGCUUGUGAAGAGAAGUGGCACCAAAUGGCUAAGUGAGCGUGCUGAACUGGUAUAUAUAGGGGAGGAGCUUUAGUCGCGGUUGGCCUGGCCAACCGCGACUAAAGGCCUUUGCGCACCUUUAGUCGCGGUUGGCCUGGCAAACCGCGACUAAAGCCCCUCACGUGCACCAGCUGGCCACCGAGCGCCCUGGGCCCAGGCCUUUGGUCGCGGUUCGUCUGCCGAACCGCGACUAAAGACUUCAUUAGUCGCGGUUCCUACAGUUUCGCGACUAAUGGGGCUGGACGGAAGCCUCUUUUUCUACCAGUGUUAGGGAAAAAAAUAAUCCUAGGCUAUGUUCGGUAGCGAAGUAUCAGAAAAACCAAAGUAUCAAAAACUACAGUAAUUCAAUCAGUAGGCACACAACACCAUAGUUUCAACUUAACAAAGUUUUUCUGAAGUAUUCAGAAUACAGACCACAUGUUUUGGCUACAGCACACAAUGUUGUAAAAUUUGUUGGCUAGCCGUUAAUUAGGCAGUCGCAUGCUGUAGUAGCUAGAUGAAAAAAUAGUGGAUGGAAGUAGCACCGUGGUGUAGUACUAGAAUAUAUGGAUCCAUUAGAUUAAUGAUGAUUAGCGGCAGCGACGGCGGCGGAGUAAUUAGCAAAUGGAUAAUGAGAACUAGUAGAAGUAGGAGGAAAUAAGGAUUCAUCCUUUGCAGAUAGUUUUUGUAGGAAAAUACUAAUCAAUUUAUUAGCAAAUGGAUAAUGGGAACUGGUAGAACUGUACUAAUCAAUUUGCAGGAAAAUACUCCUUUCAUUUAAAACAUUAGGCAUAUAGUUUUGUAACUUUACUUUUAGAUAUGUUUUCUCUUGUAUUCCCUCAUUUCUAUACUCUCUUUCUCUCCCAUGUUUAUUUAUGAAUGCUAUGGUCAUUUCACUGAACAUCCUUUUUGUUAUGUGCCCUGUUUAAUCCACAUUCUUGAUCAAACAUUGCUUAUAAAAAAAUGAAGGGUGAUCUAGUUAUUUUGUACACACAGUAAUUUGUAAGUAUUUGUGUUAUGUGUGUAUGUGGGUACUAGCAAUUGCCGAUGUGGUAGUUUGAUAAAUGAAGCUAGAAAACAGCUAGCAGUAUCCAGCAAGGAUAGGACAGGAGAUGUCCAAUUUAUAAGUUUCCAAAUGGCCGUCCAGAAUGUUGUAAUAACCAAGAUUGGCGAAAUAUUCAGUUGGCAGUACACAUGUAUCACAGCUCAAAUAUACCAAUUACAAGUGAAUUGCGUUUCUUGUUCUGACAUCAUUGCAUUUCAUGAUUAUCUGUAUUUAUUUCUAUGCAAUUACAACAUUAGUCCGAAUGGCAGCUGGAUUUGGAUUUAUUGCUAGGCUUACUUUUGUUUUUGUGUCCUAAACAGGGUGAAGCUCGGCGAGAGAGGCCCUAUAGUUUACAAAUAUUCGUGGAGCUCUCACAGUGGAAGACAGAGAGAGGAGCUACUCCAGCAUUGCACGGCUGACAGCAAGCUAGUGACUAAUGCCCUCAUCUUGUUGUGUAAAUUAAUGCAACUGGCGUUAACUUGUAGAGCACCAUGUUGUUAGAAUAGUUCUAACAUCACCGUGUGAUUUCGUUUACAUUUUUGCUUGCUUGCCGGUGCACCAAACAAGAUGCAAGAUGGCAUAUAAUGUAUUUUUACAUUGAAUCAUGGAUGGUGCAUUGGUGACAUUUUCUUUAGAGUAUGAU
rnacentral:lncRNA from 1 species